CCUACGGGAGGCAGCAGUGGGGAAUAUUGGGCAAUGGGCGCAAGCCUGACCCAGCAACGCCGCGUGAAGGAAGAAGGCUUUCGGGUUGUAAACUUCUUUUGUCCGGGAAGAGUAGAAGACGGUACCUGACGAAUCAGCCACGGCUAACUACGUGCCAGCAGCCGCGGUAAUACGUAGGUGGCAAGCGGUGUCCGGAUUUACUGGGUGUAAAGGGCGUGUAGCCGGGUUGACAAGUCAGAUGUGAAAUCCUGCGGCUUAACCGCAGAACUGCAUUUGAAACUGUUGCUCUUGAGUACUGGAGAGGUAGACGGAAUUCGUAGUGUAGCGGUGAAAUGCGUAGAUAUUAGGAGGAACACCAGUGGCGAAGGCGGUGUGCUGGACAGAAACUGACGGUGAGGCGCGAAAGCGUGGGGAGCAAACAGGAUUAGAUACCCCGGUAGUC
rnacentral:rRNA from 1 species